AACGAACGCUGGCGGCAGGCUUAACACAUGCAAGUCGAACGCGUGUAGCAAUACACGAGUGGCGCACGGGUGAGUAACGCGUGGAUAUCUGCCUUUUGGUUCGGAAUAACUCCGGGAAACUGGAGCUAAUACCGGAUGGUUCCUACGGGAUAAAGAUUUAUCGCCAAAAGAUGAGUCCGCGUACGAUUAGCUAGUUGGUGAGGUAAUGGCUCACCAAGGCGACGAUCGUUAGCUGGUCUGAGAGGACGAUCAGCCACACUGGGACUGAGACACGGCCCAGACUCCUACGGGAGGCAGCAGUGGGGAAUAUUGGACAAUGGGGGCAACCCUGAUCCAGCCAUGCCGCGUGAGUGAUGAAGGCCUUCGGGUUGUAAAGCUCUUUUGGUCGGGGACGAUGAUGACGGUACCCGCAGAAUAAGCCCCGGCUAACUUCGUGCCAGCAGCCGCGGUAAU
rnacentral:rRNA from 1 species